CAAUGUGAUCUCCAUUACAGAUGGACAAAUCUGUUUGGAAAUAGAGCUCUUUUAUCGCGGAAUUAGACCAGCUAUUAACGUUGGCUUAUCCAUCAGUCGCGUCGGGUCUGCCGCUCAGUUGAAAGCUAUGAAACAAGAGAUCUGAAGAGC